GCGCUAUACUAAGCCACCCGGUUCUUGCAAAGUAGACCUUCCUGCAUGGAACGAGUGAAGGAAAAUUGGAGAUAGUGAAAUUGGGUAGAUAUUGACCUAGGUCCAACAGCUGUCACAAUUUUAAAACAUGCAUAUAAAUUUAAUAGGAGUUCAUAAAUAUAUAGUAUUAUGAAUUUUUUCUCCUAACUAAUGUGGGAUAUCACACUAAUACUAAAGUUAAAGAGUACUUACGCACGCAUGUAAUCAGGAGCGGCAGAAAGCAAGCGGCCAAAGUAGGAGAAGGCAGAAUAGAUAGUGAUUAGAGCUGAAGUGUCAGAGCUAUUGCCAAGAGACUGUGCAAUCUGCCCUAGGUUGUUACUAUACACCAGCCCUAUCGUUCCCCCGCAGAAGUAAGCAAUGUAGUAUAGCCAAAAAUCCAACCUACGAACAAGCAUACGAGCUCGAUGUUCUUCUCCAAGCAUUACCAACUGAUCUUUUCCCAUCAAUUUCUCACAACAACUUUCACGUUCUACGCUAUUGUAUCGAACAAUUUCAUGAGUAGAUCCAUUGCUCUUGAUAAUAUCAGAAAUUCCAUUCCCAUAGCCACUGCCUGAUCGUGUGAUGAGCUCUUUGUGAAGCUCAAGAUCAUCAGCAUCCACAAGAAUGAAGCCAGAGCCAUCAAGGCGGAAGCUAGAAUUGACGGUUCUCCGAAACCAGUUCUUAGCAUAAACAACACCAGGGAUACAUAUGGGGAGGACAAGAAGAAAAAUGGCCCCAGAAAAGAGGAGACGAGAUGUUGUUGCAUUGGAUGAAAUUGAGCUAAUGAGAAGGAGAUAGACGCCUGUGAGGACAGCCAAGAAAUUCAGUAUGAGGAAUAUAAGGGAGUCGCGGCGAACGGCAUCAGGAGGAAGAGGGUCUAAAGAGGGUUGGCGGAGGAUUGGGGGAAGGGCAACAAUGGAAGUGAGAAGAGGAAUUACGGCAUUCAGAAGAAGAUACAGUGAAUCUGAAGAAGGGUUAAUGGCAUCGGCAGCAAGGGCAUAUAGUGCUGCGCUUACGCCAUUGAAGCUGACGGUGAGAGAGAUUGCAAGAGGGCGAUUUGCAGGGAAAUUCUGAGUACAAAGAACAAAGCACACUGUGUUGAACCAACAGAUGCUGCAGCCAGCUAAUAAACAUAGAAGAAACACCUGCCAUACAGCAUAUAAGAAACAAUUUUCAGUUAGGAAAGGCCAUAUAUAACAAGGGGUUCAUUCAUAAAUUGGAGCUAAUAGAAACAAUUCAUGAAAUCAUACUGAAAAGAUGGAAAAUCGGAAACUUCAAAGGAAACUAUAUAUAUAUAAAAGAUACUAAACUGUUAGUCUUCCGUUGCCUAAUAGUUUAAGCUUUUAGAUUAAAUUAAUAGCUUUGCAUGUUACUCUGAUCAACUAGAUGUCCCGAUUUCAAGUUUUUCUGACUAAUUCAUUCCCUCAUCUGUUUAUUCACACUCCAUGCCUUCUAGAUCAAAUAGGUAGCUCAACAUAAACCAAUCAAACUUGGAAGAGAUGAAGCUUUCAACAUCCAAAUAUACAUGGAUCCAUGCCAUAUAAACUCAAAAGUAAGAACUAUUAGUUGGUCAAUGAUAAACUUACUUAAGAAAACUCAAAUCAAAUGUAUAUAUGAAGGCUAGCUAGCUAACUAAAUGGGAUCUAUUGAUAGGAUUAUAAUCAAAUGGACUUGGACUUUAAAGGCAAGAUCGAUAUCCAUCGGCACCAUAUGACCCAAACCUUGCAUGCAUGGAUUCAAAAACCUCUCUUCUUCAACAUCCUAUGUAUGAGCAUAUGUGCACAUAGGUAACAAAGUAUCAACACAUACUAUUCCUCACAAUAUUCCCAAAUGCAAGAAAGGGACAAAGCUUUGCUGCAAAUCAACAAACAGUUGAUCCACUGAUUAAUUUUACCCGCUUCCUCUCCUCACAUGCUUAACUGGCAAAGGAUGAUGCACUUACUAAUCUACAAUAUGGAGUCCUCACUUGCUGCCACACAUAAAGAUAUAUGGGUGUUGAGUGUCUUGGUAGUUCAAGCAUUUUCUCCAACAACCAUGUGCUUGGGUUGUUGAAGCCUUUCUCCAGCUACCACCUCUUCCUUUAAUUUUUUUAUUUUAUUUUAUUUACAAUGAAAGCAAUAAUGAAAGUUUGUCUAGCUUUGGAACAUCAAAUUUGGUUUCAAGCUUACUUUAUUCCUUUUUUUAAAAAUAAUAAUAAUAAUUAAUUUAUCUUUUUAAAAGUCCUCAUUUUUAAAUGUAAUCUUUCCUCAUGUAAUGUUCUUCUAGUUAUCUCUCAAGAAUAAAAUAUUUAUCAUGUCAUGUCAUAUUAUGCCAAACAAUCAAUAUGAUCUGUAAAGUAACUUACUUAGCUAAGACUUGAAUAAUUUUCAAUUUUUUUGUCCAUAUGUAAAAUAAUAUUUAAUAUGUACAACAUUAUAUAAUAUUUGAAAUUAUUUUAAAGUGUGAAUUAGAGGAAGCAAAAGAUUAGGCCAAUUGAGACAACGGAUCAAACUAGAACCAAAUAAAUUAAGCAACAAUAACAAAACACUGUCCUAGGAUGUUUAAUGAUACUAAAUUGGUGUUCCAUUUACCGAGCCUCCUGAAUUUGAAACAUUAAAUAUUAAAUGUAUGAUUUUAUUACUACAAAAUUUAAUUAUUUAGACUAUUUAUAUAUGAUAAUCUUUUAAUCCUAGGGAAAACCCUUAAUUUCCGACCACAUAUAAAUCAUCCCUAAUGACUCUAAUAAUUAAAAUAUGAUCCUAAGAUUUCAUAUCUUAACUUGAGAUAACAUAUAGUUAUUCUUGAGGAACUACUUAUGUGAAUUCUUGUUCAUAUCAUGUUGAUAUUUAAGAAUAAAGUUUAUCAUAAGGGGUAAAAUGAGAGUAGAAAAUAUAAAGUUAAUGGUAAAAUGUUUGAAUUCAUGGAAAGCUUCGAAAAAAACUGACGGGAAGUAGGUGAAGUGUGGAGUAGUAGGUGAACUGAGGGGUAGGUGGUGAAUAUGUUUUGAGGUUCCAAUUUUGACAAUGCGUUGAUUUGGAGUACUUCUUUAAGAAGAGGUUUGGAGGGUGAGAAUCAAAUAAUAAAAAUAAAAAUAAUAUUUUUGUAAUUGAAGGGAUGACAAAAAAAGAUACAACAUAAAAAUUAAAAAAUAAAAUAAAAUAAAAUAACUCCAAAAUUUGUAUGCUUCUAUGAGAGGAGAAGAAUAAAUACUACACAUGAAUACAUAAAGCAUUCGCAUAUUCUAGAUGCAAAACCCACCCUUCAAGUUAGGAAUGUUAUCAUGUGAUAUUAGAGGUUAGGACUUUUGAAUUUGGUGAAAAAAACUCAAUUAUAUAUGAAUCCAAUGUUGUGAGUGUGUUAAGUGUUGGAGUUGGGUUUGGGUGUCCAAAUGAGCUUACCUGACCCAAUUCAACAAAAUGAAAAUUGAUGGAAGAGUUGUGAUAUGUAUCUCUUUUGAAUUUUAUAAGUUCUUCUAUUGUUUAAUAAUCAAGUAGAAGAGUGAUAUGUAUGGAUGAGUAUGGUAUCACUCGACCAUUUCUUUUGAAUAUAUGGUCAUUGGAGAUUGAGAUUAUCAUGAAAUAGAAAUCACCAAAGCAUAUCUUCCCCAAUAUUGGUCUUCAAAAUAGAGAACUCCACGACAAAAUUCAUAAUUCAUCUGAAAAAAAGAAGAGGUCCAAAACAACUCAUCCAUGGCAACACUAGUUGGAUUGAUAGCUACUCUUAAAGAAGUACUGGUGAAGAGCAAUUCAUCUAAAUAUAAUUAGACCCUACUGCAAAAACACAACGAAAACAACGAGAGGGGGUGUGGCAUCAUUGAUGAAAUUGAAACCGACCAUACAACUAGAUAGAAACAAUGGAAAGAAAGGGAAUCCUAAAGCCAGAUAUGAGAACAAGGAGGGAGAGAUAGAGAUAUUAAGAAAAAAAAAAUGGAGGGGGCGGAAGAGCCAUCCUCAAAGCCAGAUAUAAAGAAAUGGAAGAGAGAGAGAGAGAGAGAGAGAGAGAGAGAGAGAGAGAGAGAGAGUGCAUCUACAACUACCCAUCAACAGCUAGCACUAUUCAUUGAUGAACCCAACCCAAACGAAAAAGAGAAAAAACUGCAGAUACUAGAACAAUCAAUUGAAUUGGGACCAUCCUCAAAAACCCAAUAAAAGAAAGAAGAAAGACAGAGAGAGGAACAACAUACCAGAAAGUAUGGCAAGGUAAUGAUACUCCUGAUAACAAGCCACUGAAGGCCAUACGCAAAAAACCCCAUGAAAGCAGACAUGAACAUCACAACCCACAAUGGCAUAUACAUCAAAGCCAGCCCAGAAGACCACCCAAACAGUUUCCCUAAAUCCGACGCCGUCGCCAAAUAGUUCAACUGCACCUGAGACACCCCCAACACCGUCUUCAGCUCCGACGAGUAGGCCGAGAAAUCAAAAUUCGUCCCUGUAAACGCCUGAAUCCAUAUGGUUGCCACAAGGAUCAUCCAUUUUCUGGACUGUCCAGCCAUGAUAACGAUUAUGACAGCCCAAUACUUCCCCUUUGCCCAAAUUUAAUCUCUCUUGUUCAAUUUUCCCCUCUCAACUCCCUCUCUACGUGGCCUUAUUUAUAAACAUUCAUAUACAAAUUCAGUAUUCAUUUUAUUAAUUUGUAGUUAAAAAGGAAAGAUUUUCUUUCUUGUCCUUUUUAAGGUCUGUUAUUUCUUUUCCCUCUCUUUUCUCUAUAUUUGCGAAGCUAUCCCUCUUCAAUGGGAUGCCAAUGGCAGCCCUUCACGUGGCAUCAUGUGAAGCCUAGGUCAUCUAGUGUCCACAGACAAUUAUUUCCUUUUAAUAUCUGAAAUUGACGGUUGUUGGAUUCCCAGAAUCAUCCUCCAUCACAUGUUAAUGAACCAAUUUUGCUAUAAUUAUUUUUUAUUUUAAUGUUAAAUUUUUUUAAAAGUGUCUUUCGAUAAUAGGUCUUUUGUUGUCUUGUAAAUAAAUUGCUUUGAAGAGAGAUUUUACAAUGACGAAAAAAAAAAUGUUUCAUGAUGUUUGUUUUUUUCUAAAUAAUGGUUCCAAACAAACCAUCUAAGAGAGAGAGAGAGAGAGAGAGGAGAGAGAGAGAGAUAUAUAUAUAUAUAUAUUAGGAUAUGAUAAGAAUUGUGGCCACAAAUGAUUCACGUGGACCUUUACGUGUAUCAUUCAAUUUAUCUUUGAAUUCCACUUCUAUUCAAGUUGAUUUUAUUUUUAUUUUUUGUUGGAAAAAAAAUAGCUUUUUCAAGAUUAAUAUAAUUGUUUGAAUGGCUGAAAAAAAUAAAAGUAAAAACUUUGUAUUUAGAAAUCAAUUACUUUUUAUUUAAAUAUUUUUUUGAUUUAUAUAAGAAAUUAUUUCCUAUUUAAUAAAAUUGGUAUAAUAUUAUUUUUUUGAAAAUUAUAAUUUUAACUUUAAUUUCAAAUAACUUUAAAACGAACAAAAUUAUUUUAAACACGACUUCAAUGAAAAGCGAAAAAUAAAACCAUCUCAAAUAUGAAUUCAAUGACAUUUUAUGACAAAUUUUCAUCCAACGUACAAAAUUUAACUUUGAAAAGUCAUUUUGACCUAUUUUCAAACCAAAAAUUAAAUACUUGGAAAGUUAGUGAAAACAAAUAAAGUAAAGGUGGAGAACACACUAAAUUUCAAUAUGUUUUUAUUUUUAUAUUUUUCCUUUUUCAACUUGUUUAAACCCUUCUUUUGACUUGUAUAAAAUGUUAUAACGUCAUUCAUCAAAAAGUCUCAUGAUAUUUUCGUAGUAAUUAAUACUAGUUUUAUACCAAGACCCCACCAAAAUUGUUUGUUAAUUAGUAUAUAUGUAACUUUCUUUGUCUACUUAACAAAAUGUUGCAAAUCUAACAAGGUUUGGGUAUGUAAUAGAUGGGAAAGGAAGUUCUAAUUCAAUGUACAAGAAGCUGUCAAAUUAGUGACUUGAUCAUAUCCAACACCGUGACCAAAUGUUAACCAAAAUAUUAUAUAAAUUGAGAGUCACAACCAAUUGAAUUUUACAUUAGCCUAACCCCAAGUCAUGGUCCUCUAUGACCAGCCCAUGUUGGGGUUAUCAUAUUCUUUCUUUCUUCCUUUACCUUUUUCUUUUUAAUUUCUUUUGCACGAAAGAGAAUAAAAAGGCCUCUAGAUGUGGCCUCAAUUGACUAUGGAAUUUAAAAAUAAAAAAUAAAAAUAAUCUGACAGUGACUUGGUGGCAACUUUUGUCGCACAAGUUGUUCCUUUCUUCUUUUUUUUUUUUUUCUCUUUUUGCUGUCAACAUAUGGGUCCAACUUGGUCCCAUUCAUGCCCUUCUCAAAGAAUUUAAAUUACCUUCAAUUGUAGAUGGCAGCCAUCCAGCAAGUGUCCACAAAUUUGGUAUAUGAAGUAGUGGUUGAGUCGUUGAGUGUGAGGCAGUGUUUGUUUUUUUACGUCAUAUAAUAUUUAAUAGUAUUAAAUUAUUUAUUUUUAUAAUAUUUUAUUUUUAUUAAAUAUUAAAAAAUAAAAAAAAUCAAUAUAUUAUUUUUUUCAUUUAAAACAAUUAAAAUAUUUUAAUUUUUUUUAUUUAAUAACAAUUUUAUAAUAAGUCAUAAUAAAGUGAAAAAAACAAACAAUUUAAAGUCCAUAAAUAAAAUAUUUUUAACAAAAAGCUAAAGAAAUAAAUACCUUUACGCCUAAAAAAUUACUAACAUUUUUGUAUUAGCUUCAUCGAGCAUAUUCUCAUGGGCAGAUUCACAUGUGAAUAAUUGAAUUAUGGACAGGACAAAAGAUAACCACAUGAUAAUAUAUAAUUGGAGUGUGGAGCAAAUUAUUAAAUUAUAUCACAUGUUAAUGAUUGAAGCAUGACGCACUAGUAACUAAAUAAAUCAGUGACAGCCCGUCUGAAUAUAGGGGCUGAAUUUAUUUUAGCUUUGAUCUACGUUUAGUACGUGCAUGCAUGUGAUCGAUUAAUGAGCCGUACAUGUUUUUAUUCAAAGCAUUUUGUUAUUUACGCAUCUUCAAAUACGAAAAAGUUUUAUUCUGAAUUUUAUUUUUUUGUUUAAUUUGGGCUUUGAUUUUAAUUAUUGAAGGUGACCCCAAAUGAUUUUUCAACCAAGAAAUCGUUAACAGGUGGUGAAUUGUUAGCAUUUUGACUCAAGCAUGCGCCAGCAAAGCCUCAUGGGUACCACCUUGGCUUCAUGAAUGGCAUAUGAUUAAAGGCAAGAUGAACAUAGAGGCGAAGUGGAGACUUGUGUAAGGCUUUUAGAUGGCUCAAAGAUGAGCACGUACACAUGUUGGGAGGCACGAGCAAGGCAUGCCUCACGUUUCUACCAUGCAUGGGCAGCAAAUGGCAUGAGCCACACCUGACCAAGGGCAUACAUGAGGCAUUUAAGUUAUGGUGUGUGGUACAUGAAGAGAAUUGAAAUAGCAUAUGAUCACAUAUUAAUAUUUAAAUAUGCAUUUAAUGGCAAAAAAUGAACCGAUUACCUUGGUUUAUGUCAUGGAAGCCAUUUUUGGGGUUUUUUUGUUCGUUUGGUGUUUAUUCUUGGUUUUCAAGCCCUAUUAAGGUUGAAGACUUGUAGAGAAUAUUGUUUGAAGCAAAACUCAUCCUUUUUAUGGUUUUUUGGAGCUCAUUUGAUGAGAUUCUAUGGGACAUUGAUUUAUGAUUAUGUAUAUCUUGUGAUGCUUGAUUAUGUAGUCAAAGUGAGAGAAUUGUUGGAAUUUUUAUGUGUGGACUUACAUAAUCAAUUUGAUAAUAUCAUAAAACAGUGUUAAUUUAAUUUUUGCAUUGUGGUUCAUAAUAGGACUGAAUAUAUAUUGUUGCUUGAUUUUUUAUGGGCUCACCCUAAUUCACUUGACUGGCCCAUUACGUCAAGUGGUCCAAAUAAUGUGUAUAAUGUGUAAUAUAUAUAUAUAUAUGAAUUUAUUUACAUAUAUAUAUAUAUAUAUAUAUAUAUAUAUAGAUACAUGUGCAUUUGGAUAUAAGUCUCCUUUCUUCUUUUGGAGAGCACUGCACGCACACACACUUACACUUGAACUGAAUUUUUUGGGAGGAAAUGGAAGAGCUCAUUGAUCCCUAAUUCUCAUACCAUCACGCACCUAGAGCAGCUUCUUGGAUAUCAGAGGAGGAAGAAAUGGCUUUCCAUAACCAGAAAAAGAGAAACCAAAAAAUAACCCAAAAUUGCAGCUCAAAUGUCAUUCAGGCUUGCUCUGAUACCAAUUGAAGAGAAUUGAAAUAGCAUAGGAUCACAUGUUAACAUUUAAGCAUGCAUUUAAUGGCAAAAAAAUGAACCGGUUACCUUGGUUUUCUGGUUAUGGAAAGUCAUUUCUUCCUCCUCUGAUAUCCAAGAAGCUGCUCCAGGUGCGUGAUGGCACGAGAAUUAGGGAUCAAUGAGCUCCUCCCUUUCCUCCUCAAAAAUCCAGUUCAAGUGUAAGUGUGUGUGUGUGCAGUGCUCUCCAAGAGAAGAAAUGAGACUUAUAUCCAAAUGCACAUAUAUCUCUACAAAUAUAUAUAUAUAUAUAUAUAUUACACAUUACACACAUUAUUUGGACCACUUGACUUAAUGGGCACAUCAAGUGAAUUAGGGUGAGCCCAUAAAAAAAUUAAGCAACAAUAUGUGUCCAAUCCCAUUAUGGACCACAAUGCAAAAAUUAAAUGGCAAAAAAUGAAUCGGUUACCUUGGUUUAUGCCAUGGAAAAUCAUUUCUUCUUCCUCUGAUAUCCAAUAAGCUACUUCAGCUGCGUGAUGGUACGAGAAUUGGGGAUCAAUGAGCUCUUCCCUUUCCUCCCCAAAAAUUCAGUCCAAGUGUAAGUGUGUGUGCGUGCAGUGCUCUCCAAGAGAAGAAAGGAGACUUAUAUCAAAAUGCAUAUAUAUAUAUAUUAUACAUUACACACAUUAUUUGGACCACUUGCCUUAAUGGGCCAGUCAAGUGAAUUAGGGUGAGCCCAUAAAAAAAAUCAAGCAACAAUAUGUGUCCAGUCCCAUUAUGGACCACAAUGCAAAAAUUAAAUGGCAAAAAAUAAACCGGUUACCUUGGUUUAUGCCAUGGAAAGUCAUUUCUUCCUCCUCUGAUAUCCAAGAAGCUGCUUCAGGUGCGUGAUGGUACGAGAAUUAGGGAUCAAUGAGCUCUUCCAUUUCUUCCCCAAAAAUUCAGUCCAAGUGUAAGUGUGUGUGCGUGCAGUGCUCUCUAAGAGAAGAAAGGAGACUUAUAUCCAUAUGCAUAUAUAUAUAUAUAUAUAUAUAUAUAUAUAUAUAUAUAUGUAAAUAAAUUCAUAUAUAUAUUACACAUUACAUACAUUAUUUGGACCACUUGACUUAAUGGGUCAGUCAAGUGAAUUAGGGUGAGCUCAUAAAAAAAUCAAGCAACAAUAUGUGUUCAGUCCCAUUAUGGACUACAAUGCAAAAAUUAAAUGGCAAAAAAUGAACCGAUUACCUUGGUUUAUGCCAUGAAAAGUCAUUUCUUCCUUCUCUGAUAUUCAAGAAGCUGUUCCAGGUGCAUGAUGGUACAAGAAUUAGGGAUCAAUGAGCUCUUCCCUUUCCUCCCCAAAAAUUCAAUCCAAGUGUAAGUGUGUGUGCGUGCAGUGCUCUCUAAGAGAAGAAAGGAGAUUUAUAUCCAUAUGCACACACACAUAUAUAUAUAUAUAUAUGUAAAUAAAUUCAUAUAUAUAUUACACAUUACACACAUUAUUUGGACCACUUGACUUAAUGAGCCAGUCAAGUGAAUUAGAAUGAGCCCAUAAAAAAAUCAAGCAACAAUAUGUGUCCAAUCCCAUUAUGGACUAUAAUGCAAAAAUUAAAUGGCAAAAAAUGAACCGAUUACCUUGGUUUAAGCCAUGGAAAGUCAUUUCUUCCUUCUCUGAUAUCCAAGAAGUUGUUCCAGGUGCAUGAUGGUACGAGAAUUAGGGAUCAAUGAGCUCUUCCCUUUCCUCCCCAAAAAUUCAGUCCAAGUGUAAGUGUGUGUGCGUGCAGUGCUCUCUAAGAGAAGAAAUGAGGCUUAUAUCCAUAUGCACAUAUAUAUAUAUAUUACACAUUACACACAUUAUUUGGACCACUUGACUUAAUGAGUCAAUCAAGUGAAUUAGGGUGAACCCAUAAAAAAUUCAAGCAACAAUAUGUGUCCAGUCCCAUUAUGAAUCACAAUGCAAAAAUUAAAUUGUAAAAAAUGAACCAGUUACCUUGGUUUAUGCCAUGGAAAGUCAUUUCUUCCUCCUCUGAUUUCCAAAAAGCUGCUCCAGGUGCGUGAUGGAACGAGAAUUAGGGAUCAAUGAGCUCUUCCCUUUCCUCCCCAAAAAUUCAAUCGAAGUGUAAGUGUGUGUGCGUGCAAUGCUCUCUAAGAGAAGAAAGGAGACUUAUAUCCAAAUGCACACACACACACACACACACACACACACACAUAUAUAUAUAUGUAAAAUAAAUUCAUAUAUAUAUUACACAUUACAUACAUUAUUUGGACCACUUGACUUAAUAGAUCAGUCAAAUGAAUUAGGGUAAGCGCAUAAAAAAAUCAAGCAACAGUAUGUGUCCAGUCCCAUUAUGGACCACAAUGCAAAAAUUAAAUGGCAAAAAAUGAAUCGGUUACCUUGGUUUAUGCUAUGGAAAGUCAUUUCUUCCUCCUCUGGUAUCCAAGAAGCUGCUCCAGGUGCGUAAUGGUACGAGAAUUAGGGAUCAAUGAGCUCUUCCCUUUCCUCUCUAAAAAUUCAGUCCAAUUGUAAGUGUGUGCGCGUGCAUUGCUCUCCAAAAGAAUAAAGGAGACUUAUAUCAAAAUGCAUAUAUAUAUAUAUAUAUAUAUAUAUUACACAUUACACACAUUAUUUGGACCACUUGGUUUAAUGGGUCAGUCAAGUGAAUUAGGGUGAGCUCAUAAAAAAAUCAAGCAACAAUGUGUCCAGUCCCAUUAUGGACCACAAUGCAAAAAUUAAAUGGCAAAAAAUGAACCGGUUACCUUGGUUUAUGCCAUGGAAAGUCAUUUCUUCCUCCUCUAAUAUCCAAAAAGCUGCUUCAAGUGCGUGAUGGUUCGAGAAUUAGGGAUCAAUGAGCUCUUCCCUUUCCUCCCCAAAAAUUUAGUCCAAGUGUAAGUGUGUGUUAUAUCCAAAUGCACAUAUCUCUCUCUCUCUGUUUAUAUAUAUAUAUAUAUAUAUAUAUGUAAAUAAAUUUUUAUAUAUAUUACACAUUACACUCAUUAUUUGGACCACUUGACUUAAUGGGUCAAUCAAGUGAAUUAGGGUGAGCUCAUAUAAAAAUCAAGCAAUAAUAUGUGUUCAGUCCCAUAAUGGACCACAAUACAAAAAUUAAAUGUCAAAAAAUGAACUGGUUACCUUGGUUUAUUCCAUAGAAAACCAUUUCUUCCUCCUCUGAUAUCCAAGAAGCUGCUCCAAGUGCGUGAUGGUAUGAGAAUUAGGGAUCAAUGAGCUCUUCUCUUUCCUCCCCAAAAAUUCAGUCCAAGUGUAAGUGUGUGUGCGUGCAGUGCUCUCCAAGAGAAGAAAUGAGACUUAUAUCCAAAUGCACAUAUAUAUAUAUAUAUUACACACAUUAUUUGGACCACUUGACUUAAUGGGUCAGUCAAGUGAAUUAGGGUAAGCGUAUAAAAAAAUCAAGCAACAAUAUGUGUAAAAUCCCAUUAUGAACCACAAUGCAAAAAUUAAAUUAACACUGAUUUAUGAUAUUAUCAAAUUGAUUUUGUAAGUCCACACAUAAAAAUUCUAACAGUACAACCCAUGGGUAUAAUGACACAAGGUGUGGCCACGAAACAAACAUGAGUCGAUUGCCUUAACUUAGACUUGAUUCAAAUGUGGGAAUAUAUAUGAUCAUGGUUGCCACACCCAAGGGCUAACAUGGAGCAACAUCAAUCGACCAUAAGCCAAGGUAGGGUAUGGCACCAAGGUGCAUUGAUAGGUAUGUAGGCCGAGAGGGGGCAUGACACACAUACGAGUUGUUUAGAGACGCAUGCAAUAGGUUGAUUCGAUGCAAGGCCUAAUUGGAUCAAAUGUAUGAGCUAAUUUAAGAGGAACGUCUAAGUAGGACAUGCUAGGUAUGGACUUGCAUUUUACGUAUGAGUCUCAAUCACUCAAUGGUGAAACUCAUUUUUAUUGUAAAAAAAUUGAAGUCAUCACUUAUUUUAUUUAUUUUUUAAAAAGAAAAAAGAAUGAAAAUGAAAAUCUUAUGUAACUCAUUGUUUAUACAAAGGUAAUCUAUGAAUCGAGAAUGAAUUCAAGGGUGAGGUUACCUAUCGAGAAGGUAUGAAAAUAAACCGUAGUAUUUCUCUAAGCCCAUAUGUCUAUGAUCUCUAAUAUAUAAGUGGAGAAACGCUAGCGUUAAUCAAUUAAUUAAUGGAUAUAUAUUAUGAUGAGUUGUUUAGGAAAAAAAAUAUCUUGAAUUGUACUAUUUUAUUUAUAUAAAUGAAAUCCAAUUAACAUUUAAUAAUAAUGAUAAAAUUUUGACUUACACCUUCUUAAUGUACAAUAAUAAAAAAUUUUGAUUUAAUGUCUAUAUUUACAAGGUUCAUAAACACAUCUUUUUGCAUCAUUAAUUUUAAUACAUAUGACAAUAGUAAUAAAUUUGAUUCAAAUUAUUUUCAAACUUAAUUUAUGAGAAUAAAUUAUUUUCCUUAACAAUUUCAUCAUUAAAAAAAAUUAAUAUAUCCAAAAUCUAAUCUUAAUAUUUAUGAACAUACAAAAUUAAUUCACAAAACAAUUUCUUGAUUAAUUUGGACAUAAAAAAUUUUGAUUCAAUUCACAUGGGUGUAUAAAAACGAUUUUUCCGAUUAUUAGUAUAAGUACAAUAAAAAAAUGAUUUAAUUAGCAUUAAUGACUCAAUUUACAUAUGAAAUUAAUGUAAAAAAUGGUUUCCUUUAUUUAAUUGAUGUCAAUAGGUAAAAAUAACCCAAUUCAUAUAAUCACACAAAAUUAUUUAAAAGAAACAAUUUUUUAUUUUAUUAAUAUAAAUAUAACAAGUAACCCCAAUUCAUACAACCUUACAAAAUCUAUUUAAAAAUUAUUCUUGGUUUUAUUAAUGUUAAAAUAAAUAAAAAUUGUUCUUUGAUUUUAUUGACAAUUAUUAGAAGGAAUGAUUUCAAUUUACAUAAUCUUAUAAGAUUAAUUAAAAAAAGGAUUUUGCAAGUUUUAUUCAACAAAUAAAAAUAUAUAUUAAUAAAAUAAAAUAACAAUAUUUGAAUUUGAAAUUUAUAAUAUAAGAAUAAUUGUUUGAAUUAUAUAUACCCAAUUUCAUUUAUAUAAACCAAACCAUGCAACUCAUCACAUUUUUCAAUUUAAUUACAAUGUAGCAAUAAAGAUAAAAAUAAAAAUAAAUAAAUAAAUAAAUAGAAUGAAGAAGCCCCACUACCCUUUUUUUUUCUCUUUUCUCUUUGUUGUGGUAUUGCUAUAAGAAAAGAUCCCUUUCAUCCUCUCUUUUCUCAUAGGAACUUUGACUUUUUUUUUUUUUUUUUUGUCAAGAGUAAUUGUGACAUGAUAGGAAUCUUCACUACAUAUAUAUAUAUAUAUAUUUAAUUUUUCCAUUUUUUUUUUCAUUGUUAUUGACCAUGGGACCUAGAUCAUUGUGACUUGAGAAAUGAUUUUGAAACUCUAAGGAACCUCUUGGCCGUGUUUGGAACCAAACUCAAGAAUAAGAACAAAAAUAUAUGAAAACAUGUUUGAUAAUGAUUAUUCUCAAAAUGGAUUAUUGGGAAUUGUUCUAAAAAUAAGUUUCUUCUAAGAAUAUAUAUAUAUAUAUAUAUAUAUAUAUUUAGGGAUUAUUUAAAAAAAAAUUGUAUAAAUGAAAAAAUGAUUGAAAAUAAACAUUAUACAAAAAAGUUACUUCUAAGAAAUAUUUGAAAACACAAAAAAAAAUUGAGAACUUUCCAAGUUCUCAAAUAUAUUUUUGCUUUAAAAAAUAUCAUGAUCCUAUUUAAGAAGUGUUCUUAAAAAUAGUUUUUGAAAAUUGUUCUUUUUUAAAGAGCAAAAGUCUAUUUAAAAACCUAAAAUGUUCUUAAUAUGUUUUUAAAUGUGUUUUAAAAAUAACAUUUAUAUAAAGUACUUUAUUUUUAAUCAUUUUUCGUAUUUGUAUAAUUAUUUUUAAAAACAAUACUAAAAAAGCAAGUGAAAAUAACUAAAAUAUAUAUAUAUAUAUAUAUAUAUAUAUAUAUAUAUAUAUAUAUAUAUAUAUAUAUAGCUUGGCUUCAAUUUAGAUCCUAAUUGAAUUCAAGCCAAAUUUUUCAAGUACUGUUUGUUCAAAGAUUUUAGAUAUAUUUCAAGUUUACACAGUAUAUGGUCUUGAAUUAUUAUUGGGUAAUUUGGGCUUUAGUGAAAUUGUCACCAAUUGUUUUCUUCAAACAAUCAAUUGUAGUCGUGAGACAUAUAUUCAUCAUAAGAUUAAUUUAGGAAGUAUUUGGUAAAACUUAAUAAUUAUUAUUUAAUAACUUAAAUUGACUUUAUAUUAAAUUAUACUUAAAUUAUUGAUUUAAAACUUAUUACUUAAUUUUAUUUUAAGUAAUAAGGUUGUUUGAUAAAAUUAAUUUAAAAUUUAUUCUAAAUCAUCAAAUUAACAUAUUUACCAUCAUAAAUUAUAAUUAAAGCAAAGGACAUCGAAUAAUAAUGGUGAUUGUGGAGUAAUAAAAGAAAUCAUGGAAGUAAUUAAGACAAAUGAUGGUAAAAAAGAAAAUGAAAAUAUGGUCUUAAGAAUAAGUUAAUUAUUUUUACUUAUUAUUUAAAGUCGUUUUUUAUUUUAAGUCGUACCAUUAAGUUGUUUUACCAAACAUACUUAAUUUAAUGACUUAAAUUAUAUUAUUAAGUUAUUAAAUUGAUUUAUCAAAAACUCACUUAGAUUAUUAUUAUUAUUAUUAAGAUCUAGACUUAUUUUGAGAAUUUAAGGAGCCUUGUUUUCCUCAGGGUAUUGCCAUGGCACCUAAAUGAUUGUAACUUGAGAAAUUACUUUGAUAUUCAUAGGAACAUUGACUUUUUUUUUUCUUUUUCCUUUUUUCCCUUUUUUUUCCUUGUUAUUGACCAUGGGACUUAGAUGAUUUUGAAUUGAGAAAUGAUUUUGAAACUCAAAAGAAUCUUUUGGCUUUGCUUGGGAACUAGUCUCAAGCAUAACUUCAUAUUUUUAAGAAAAAAAAAAACAUGUAUGGUAAUCAAUUAUUUUUUUUGGGGAAUUGUUUUGAAAUUAAGUUUUUUUUUCUAAGAAGAUAUUUUAGUUGUUUUAUGAAAUUAUUUAAAAAUUAAUUGCACAAAAAUAAAUAAUGAUUGAAAAUAAACAUUAUAAAUAAAAUUUAUUUCAAAGAAAUCUUUGAAAACACAAAAAGCAGACUGAGAACUUUCCAAGUUCUCGAUUAUAUUUUUGUUUUAGAAAAUAUCAUGACCUUAUUCGGGAAGUUUUUUUUAUAAUAAUUUUUAAAAACAAUUCUUGAAAUAUAAAGUGUUAAUCGAAGUUUUAAUUUAAAUAAUGUUAGUUCAAGAACAUAAAGAUAAAUAAUUUACACGAAGUUACAUGUGGUUUUAACAUGAUUCAGUCAAUCAUACCUACAUCUAUGGAUGAGAGAGAAUCAUUUCACAUAAAAAAAUUUAUAGAGAACAAAAACUAAAUAUAACUAUUAGAUUUUCAAAACAUCUUAUGUUUUUUCACUCCUUAUAUCUACACCUUAAACCUCAACCCUCCUCACUCCAUUAGGUGCCUCUCUUUGUUCCUCAUAUGUCUAUCCACCUCAUAUAGCCUUAUUAAUAGAGAUAAUUUUAAUAACUUUCAUUAUUCUAUUUGGAAAUCUAAUAUUACAAUGACAUAUCAAUAUAAGAAAUAUGUUAUAAAAUAAAUAAAAAAAUUCAUACCAAUUAGGAAUUUAAGACACUUCUUAACAAUUUUCACCUUAAAUCAAAUUUCAUUAAGUCAGUCUUCUAUCUUUUCAUGAUACAUAUUUUUGUAUCAAAUCUCAUGAGAGAGCAAUUAACCCUAACUUCAAAUAAAAUUCCUUUCAUCAUCUUUUUGUGUGCUAUAUUCUUUUGGGCUCUUCUAGAAAUCUUCAUUAAUACUAGCUUUUUUGCCAUUAAAAGCCUUAAUGUAAACAUGUUAAUUUUAGAGCACAAAAGCAAAUAAUCCACACAAAUGUACACGAGGUUUUAACAUGGUUUAGUCAACAAUACCUACACCCACAAAUGCAAGAGAAUCAUUCCACUAUAUUAUAAAGAAUAUUACAUAGGACAAAAACCAUGUACAAUUAUUGGAUUUCAAAAACAUUUUAUGUUUCCUUACUCCUUAUAUUUAUACCAUGAACCAUGUGUAUCUAUAUCCUAAACCAUGUGUAUCUAUAUCAUGAACCAUGAGCCUUUUCACCCUAUUGGGUGUCUCCCAUUGUUCAUCACAUCUUUAUUCAUCUUGUAUAUUCUUUAUAGAUUCAUCUCCAUCCGAUAACCUCUUCUCUUUAUGAUCUAAAAUAUUUAUAAAAAUAUUUCUAAUACCUUUUGUUAUCUUAUUAGGAAAUCCAAUAUUACAAUAACAUCAAUAUAGAAAAUAUUCUAUAUAAUAUUCUUUACAAAAAAAAAAAUUAUAUCAAUUAGGAAUUUGAAACAUUUCCUAACACAUAUAACUAUUUAAACUAUUAUCAAAAACUAUUUUUUGAAAUUUAUUUGUGAAAAUAUUCCACAACAACUAGACCCUUGUUUUCCUCGUGUUAUUGGACCUAGAUAGUAACCUUGGCUCUUCUAUUUCCUCUUUAUUGCCCAUGGUAAAAGAUUGUUGUGACUUGAGAGAUAAUUUUGAAAUAACUCAUAGGAACUUCUUUUUUUUUUCUUCUUUCAUUUUUAUUUUUUGUUCUUGUUAUGCUCAUGGGACCUCGAUUAUUGUGACUUGAGAAAUGAUUAAAAAAAACUCUCUUGAAGUGAAAUUUUAAUGAAUUUGAAAAUAAUUGUAUUAAAAAGUCAUAUAUGAAACUCUUGAUGUGUCUAUUUGUAUUAGUGGUUCUAGCAAACAGCUCAACCCUUGAUACAUACUAUAACCCUAAAUGACGAAAAACCAGAGGGAUGAACGAAGCAAAUUCCUCUCAAGUGACUAGCAUAUAUAUUUUAUAUGAAGUAAACGUGUAUGAAAUGGAAACAAACGGAUAUCAUUAUAUAUAUAUAUAUAUAUAUAUAAAGAGAGAGAUUUGGCACAUCAUAUUAUGAUUCAUUAUUGUCUUUUAUAUGAAAGAAAAAUUAUUAAAUUUGGUGAUGAUAAAUAGUCAAUUUAAUUAUUAUCAACUUCUAUACCAUUAUUGUAAUGGCUUAAUUAAUUAUAUAAACGUGUAGAGUUGCAUUGAAUGAUUUGGAGAGAGAGUCCAUACUUCAUAUCAUUUUAAGAUAUGAUUCCUCUGAGAGGGGCCAUACUCAACUCGAUACAUAUCAUUUCAAGAUGUGGUAUCAUCAUACUAGCACGAGGAUAUUAAUUGUGUGAAUCUUUUAUACAUUUAUUUAUCUUUCUUUUUUUUGAAUUGUUUUGGAAUUAAGUUUUUUUUCUAAGAAGAUAUUUUAGUUGUUUAAUGAAAUUAUUUAUAAAAAUAAUUGUACAAAAAUAAAGAAUGGUUGAAAAUAAACAUUAUAAAUAAAAUUUAUUUCAAAGAAAUCUUUGAAAACACAAAAAGCAAAUUGAGAACUUUCCAAGUUCUCGAUUAUAUUUUUGUUUUAGAAAAUAUCAUGACCUUAUUUGGGAAGUUUUUUUUUGUAAUAAUUUUUAAAAACAAUUCUUGAAAUAUGAAGUGUCAAUGGAAGUUUUAAUUUAAACAAUGUCAGUUCAAGAACAUAAAAAUAAAUAAUCUACAUGAAGUUACAUAUGGUUUUAACAUGAUUCGGCCAAUUAUACGUACAUCUAUGGAUGAGAGAGAAUCAUUUCACAUAUAAAAUUUUAUAGAGAACAAAAACUAAAUACAACCAUUGAAUUCUCAAAACAUCUCAUGUUUUCUCACUCUUUAUACCUACACCUUCAACCACGACCCUCCUCACUCCAUCGGGUGUCUCUCUUUGUUCCUCACAUGUCUAUCCACCUCGUAUAGUCUUAUUAAUAGAGAUAUUUUUAAUAACUUUCCUUAUUUUAUUUGGAAAUCUAAUAUUACAAUGACAUAUCAAUAUAAGAAAUAUGUUACACAAAAAAAACAAAACAUACCAAUUAGGAAUUUAAAACACUUCCUAACAAUUUUCACCUUAUAUCAAAUUUCAUUAAACCAGUCUUCCAUCUUUUCAUGAUACAUAUUUUUGUAUCAAAUCUCCAUGAGAGAGCAAUUAACCCUAUCUUCAAAUAAAAUUCCUUUUAUCAUCUUUUUGUGUGCUAUAUUCUUUUAGGCUCUUCUAGAAAUUUUCAUUAAUACUAGUUUUUUUGGCAUUAAAAGCUUUAAUGUAAACAUGUUAAUUUUAGAGCACAAAAUCAAAUAAUCCAUAUAAAUGUACACGAGAUUUUAACAUGGCUUAGCCAACAAUACCUACACCCACAAAUGCAAGAGAAUUACUGGAUUUCCAAAACAUCUUAUGUUUCAUCACUCCUUACAUUUAUAUCAUGAACCAUGUGUAUCUAUAUCCUAACCACGUGUAUCUAUAUCAUGAACCAUGAGCCUUUUCACCCUACUGGGUAUCUCCUAUAACUAUUUAAACUAUUUUUUGAAAAUAUUUCACAAAAAUUAGACCCUUUUUUUCUUCAUGUUAUUGGACUUAGAUAGGAACCUUGGCUCUUCUACUUCCUCUUUAUUGCCCAUGGUAUUAGAUUGUUGUGACUUGAGAGAUGAUUUUGAAACUCAUAGGAACCUUUUUUUUUUUCUUCUUUCAUUUUUAUUUUAUGGUCAUGGGACCUCAAUUAUUGUGACUUGAGAAAUAUAUAUAUAUAUAUAUAUAUAUAUAUAUAUAUAUAUAUAUGAAACUCUUGAGUGUCUAUUUGUAUUAGUGGUUCUAGCAAACAGCUCAACCCUUGAUACAUAUUACAACCCCAAAUGACAAAGAACCAAAGGAAUAAAUAAAGCAAAUUUGUGGUUCUAGCAAACAGCUCAACCCUUGAUACAUACUAUAACCCUAAAUAACAAAAUAUCAGAUGGAUGAACAAAGCAAAUUCCUCUCAAAUGGCUAGCAUAUAUAUUUUAUGAAGUAAACGUGUAUGAAAUGGUAACAAACAACAUCAUUACAUAUAUAAGGAGAGAGAUUUGGCACAUCAUAUUAUUAUUCAUUAUUGUCUUUUAUAUAAAAGAAAAAUUAUUAAAUUUGGUGAUGAUAAAUAUUCAAUUUAAUUAUUAUCAACUUCUAUACCAUUAUUGUAAUGGCUUAAUUAAUUAUAUAAACAUGUGGAGUUGCAUUGAAUGAUUUGGAGAGAGAGUCCAUACUUCAUAUCAUUUUAAGAUAUGAUUCCUUUGAGAGGGGCCAUACUCAACUCGAUCCAUGUCAUUUCAAGACAUGGUAUCUUCAUCAUACUAGCACGAGGAUAUGAAUUGUGAGAAUCUUUUAUUCAUUUAUUUAUCUAUUUAUUAUUAUUUGGGUUGGAAUCCCAACACAUUUGGGUGAUGGUCUUAGAAGUUUUGUAAUAAAGGUGAUGGUCAGCUCCAUGUUUGCAGGAACAAAGAUAAGAAUGGCACGGACCACGACACACCAAGUUGGUCCGAUUUCUACAUCAAAGACACCCAUGCAUAAUUGUUCGCAUUAAUUUCCUUUGUCCUCAUUUAAAUGAAUGAAAAAUAUAAUUAAACAUUUUCUUAUCCCUAACAACCAACUCAAUCAUAAACUUUUUGUCUCUUUCUUAUUUUUUUCGUCCCAUUUCUUUAAUCGAUUCAGACAAUGCUAAUGUAUUGAUUGAAUACUAUAUGGGAGUUUAAAAUCCAACCUCUUUGAUAUGCAUUAUUUAAUUUGAUCCGUUUAAUAAAAAUUUUAAAAUUUAAGAUUAUUGUACAAAUAAAUAAAAUCAAUAUAUAUAUAUAUAUAUACAUAUAUAAAAUUAGACUUAUCUUAUAUACUUAAAAAAUUAUAUUUUAAAAAAAAAUUAAACUAGAGAUGGUAAAAAAUUUUAAUACCUUAAUUUUUUAAUUAAUUUUUAAAAAUCAUUACAUUUUGAGAAAUUCUUCUAUUAUUUUCCAUUUUUAAAAAUAGAAAACAAGAAAUAUAUUUGAUGAUACAUUAAGAAGUUGUCUUGCAAUGCCACCUUUGUUCAUGGUUUGUUCUAAAGCCAAAUUGAAGCUAGCAACAUCAUUAGAAUUAAUAAGUUUAAUUAAGUAAAAGCAAUACUAUUUAGUUGAACAUCAAUGAAGCAUUAAUCCCAGGCAACAUAGAGGAAAUUGGCCAGGUAAAAUUUUGUGAUGUUGGAUUAUUGAUAUGACAAAUGCAUAAUUAUGGGGGUUAAAUAAGAGUAAUUGAAGGAAUUACUUUUUUUUUCAUGCAAUUAAAUUUUAUGUUUGGAAAUUCUAUCUUAAAAAUAUUUUUAAAACAAUUUAUUUGCUUUCAAUAAAAAUAAAUAAAUAAAAAUAAAAAAAGGGAAAGAAAGAAAACAGGCUAUUUUUUUAAUUGUUUUCACUAAAAAUGCUAAAUGUUUUCUAUUUUUUUAAAUAAACUAGAUGUUUUCAAAAACAAUUUUUUAUUUUUAAAAAUUAAAAACUAGAUGUCUCAAUAAAAAAAACACCAUCUUUUAAGUAUUUUCACUUUUUUUUUAGGGUUGCUUAAAAAAUAUUUAUACAAAUAUGAAAGUUAAUUAAAAAUAAAGCACUAUAUAUAAAAAUUAUUUUUAAAACAUGUUUAAAAACAUAAAAAACAAAUUAAAAACAUUUUAGAUUUUCACACAAACUUUUGUUAUACAAAACAUGUUUUUUCAAAACUACUUUCGAAAACACUUAAUGAAACCUAUUAUGAAUUAUAAUAGUUUUAUAGAUGUUGAGCAUCCCCAUGAUAAGCCUUAAUAAAGACAUUAACAAAAGUGAUAUAAGCUAAAAGAGCUAUCACCCAAAUCAAUCCCCAAUCUCCAAUGGAGCCUAAGUCAUAUUUUAACAAAUGUAAUAUAUAUAUGUAUAUAAUUUAGAAAAGGUUUUAUUAUUUAUCCCCAUCCAAACAACCCCUGCAUUUCAUAAUUUCAAAUAAAAUAAAAUAAUCAUUUUAGGGUUAUGAAGAGGCCUCAAGGGAGGAAUAACAACAAAAUCAAUGAGAAACCACAGGGCAGUCCCUUCAAAUCCUCAAACACAAAGAGAAGACCCUCCACAAAUCUUCAUUUUUCUUUAUUGAGUUGUCAAAAAGAACUUAUCAUAUCAAAAAGUACCUAAAAUAAAAGAAUGGAGCUAUCUCUUCAUGGCUUACCAAGAAAAACCCACCAGCCAUGGCAAAAAUCCUACUCUGCAACUGGGUUAUACCUUAACUUCACAUCUUUACACUGCAAAUUUGACCUGUACAAUCUUCAUCUUUGUCUAAUAUAUGUGACAUGUUGAAUAUCAAUAGAUUAUAGAUAUUGGCUGGGUACUUUCUGUUAGGGAUUGUUACCAGUCUAAGCCUUUGUGCUUGUUGAGGAAUAGACUGUGCCCUCCUUUCCUGCUGUACAACGCAAAACCUGGAAAUGGUAAGAGAAAACACUUUUAGACGCAGGAUAUUGGACUCAUUAGUUUAUAUCCAACAAGUUCUAAAAACCCGAGUCAUGAAUAAACAGUUCGAAAUAAUUCAUUUUCUGAGUUGUUGGUAAGAUACCCAAUGAACAGUUGAAAAUAUAUCAGGUAGAUUUGGCACUAAGGUUUAUAAAAGAACAGGCAUGGCUAGAAAACAGUAUUCUGGAAGUUAGAAACCAAGGAAAAUACCAUUAGUACCCAAGGGGAAUAGCAAAAGAAUAUCAUCCAUAGGAGUGUGAAGUUCUCCAACAGUGGAACGGAAGGAAACAAAAUCUUGGAUGCCUUUUCAUUUUGAUAAGCAUAGAAACCAUUCAAUGCUUUCUUUUACUUAAACCACUACUGUAUCUAGUGAGGAACUUCACUUUUAUCGUACCGCUUGAAGCUAUGAUAUCUGGAUCCUUCAAUUUUACCUAAUGUCCCCUCAUCGACAUGACAUGAUAUGGGUGUGAUAGGAUCCUUAUUGGACACUCUUAUUUUACUUCGGAUGUGUCAGUUUGAAUUUUUUUUUUUAUUCCCUCAACUUUCUUGGUAAUAAUUACAUUAGCGAAGAAAAGUUAGCUGAAAGGUGAAUUAUUGUAAGAAAAUUUAGGGAAAAGAGGAAAAAAAGGGGGGAGUAGAGGGAAAAGAUGGAAGCUUCUAAAAAUAAUAUUUUCACUACUAAUUUUUUUUAAUUGAUUUUUCUUUAUACAUGGUAUACCAAUAUCCAUGCCCCUUUUUUGGAUCCCUUUUGUCCAAGUCCCCGUAACCUAAAAUUUGAAUUGUGGAGGAUCAGAAGGUAGACAUAUACCUGCACCAAUACUCAAACUGAACUCAUGCAACAUAUGUUUGAAGCAUAAAUUUUUGUAAUUUCAAUUUCUCAAACCAAGACGGGUCGACUGGUUAAAUGAUUUGCUUCUAAAAUAAAUAUUCAUUAUUUUUCAACUAACAAAAGAGUAGAUAAGGAGAACAGAGAUGUACUUACCUCAAGUUAUUGCAUCCUUUAUUGACAAAUGAGCUGAUAUGAUGUGCAUAGCCAUUUCUUGCAAAUUUCUCCAUGAAUGAGAUGCCUACUGCGAUUAUCACAUAUGUAUAAUAUUGUUAGGAAGAUAUUCACAAAAUGCUGCCACAUGAUGAAGAAAGAAAUUUUCGACAGCUUAUAGUUCUCAGCAAAGCUUUAAAAGAAAAAAACACAAAGAAACUAGACCCUUGGAAAAAAAAACAUGUUUUGAAGAAACCAGACCACAAUAGCUUAACAAAGACUUGAAAAGAUGGUAACAACAUUCCCUUGCAAUUUGAAUUAGGAAACAUAACACUGAAGAUUAUUCUACUAUUAGUAGCCAUAGAAGCUACAACCUUCUGGCCAUCAAGUAGAAGAUUUAGCAAAAUAUGAAAUAUGUUACCUUCAAUUAACAAAUAAAUUUGUUUCUAAUAAAAACUAAGGAGGGGAACACAAUUUAAGUUUUCUAGUUUAAAUAUAAGAAACUGAUUACUAUUCUUCGUAGACAGUAAUCAAAUAUUCAGCUACAAAUGAGCAACUGAGCACCAAUUAGUCGAAUGUUAGGCUAGAUGUUCCCUUAAUUUUCCAUGUAUGGACCUAACCUUAUGCUUCAAUAGGCAGACAUCUAGCAAGGUAUGAAAAGUUAACAUAUAAGCAGAGACAUUUUAUUUUAGGCAAACAAGAAGUAUACAGGAAUUAUUUAAACAGCACUGAACCAACAAAGAUGAGAAAGGACAAAAGAAAUAUAACUCUAAUAGCUCACUUCCAUCAAUAAGUUUCUAGCCAAUCAACAAAAUUUGAUAAUAGACAAUGAGAACUGAUCUAAAAACUUACCAGCCCAAAGCCUAAGCAAGAUAAGCAAGAAGUUCUCGAGAGCAUGAUCUUCUUGUGCCACAUUUUCAAACGCUCUCAAUUGCUCUCCUCCCCAACAGUCUAGAAUAAGCACAACAGGCAACCCUCUACACAUUCCCAUGUUUCUUUCCCACAAAGGUCUCAUGCCAACUUAAUAGAGUCUCUCAAACUGUAGAAGACAACACCCACACAAAGCCAAACAAGGAGAAUAACUAGUGCCACAAGAUCUUCAUGUUAGCACAAUGAAAAAGGUUCAUUCCCCAAGGUCCAUCCUCUUCUUUUUUAUAUUACCCAAAGUCAACAUCCUUCCCUAAAUUGUUUUCCAUGCAAAGAACUCAAACUCUUGUCAACACCCAAGAGUUACAAACUACAUUUACUGAAAAAGUUCAUACCCAUCUUGGCUCCAAACAGGAGUAGAAGGCUUUAGAAAUUUCUGACCUCUGAACCCCUCCAACACAAUCUAUCUUCCUCGUCCCUCCUCAUUGAUUGCUUUUCCAGCUGCAAAAGAAAAGCCUCAACAUUUUCCAGCCCCCAGUCAUGGAAUGUGUCUUAAGAAACAAGGGCUCCAAUGCCCCUGUUUGGAGACAUCGUUCCAAAAACACACCCGAACCUACCUGCCUUUCCACCCCCCAAAAAAUAAUUACAAUGAUAAUAACAACAUAUUAAAUACAUAAACAAAUAAGGUAAAUAAAAAUCAAAGCAAAAAAAAAAAAAAAAAAGGAAUCAUAACCGACAAUUUAAAUAAUAAAUCGGGAUCAUCUUGAAUAAAUCCUCUACAAUAAAGAAAAAAAUUAAGCUAAAAUGAAAUGGAUAUAAAACUGCAACAUGAUAUACCUUGCAUCCUGUUAUCUCCAAAUGUCUAAAGCAUUUGCUUUCCUCUAUAACUGCGAUGCCAUCCUUUUGGUUUCAUGUUUCUUUUAUUGAUCCACUUAUCUGCAUCCAAUAAAGAUAUCCAAACUCACACCCAGUUCAGUUCCUAAAAUCUAGAACAUUUCUUGUUUUCUUCAUGCCCGGCGAUACCCUGGAAGUCAGAUUAGUAAAUUUAGCAACUGAUAAGUGCAAAUGAUGAUGUAAUAAAAUGAACUUGCAAAUAAACAACAUUUAACUAAAUGAAGCUGUAUCACCACAGUGAUAGAUUGAACCAUUUUCAUUUUCAUGUUACUUGCAAAAGAAUUGGAAGGGAAAACAAAAGCAUUGGCUUUUAUUUCAGCUGGAGAUUCACACCUGCCCAGGAGAUAAACAUACUCCCCCUCCCUCUGCUGGAUAUUCUCCCUUUCAUAGACAAGAAAAAUCUCAUUCUUAUUUAACCUUCCAUUCUAACUCAUCCUUGUCAAACUUUCAACUGGUGUAGAUGCAAAUCAAGCGGAGGCAUCCAUACAAGCAAGCAUGCUAUGAUGAUUGAGGACUAAAUGCUUCUCAUUGCUAUAUUUGUUCUGCAGUCCAGCAUCUCAGCCUCAGUUGGCACCCUUAUUUAACUACAAAAUAAAAAAGAGAAUGCAGGUUUAAUACAUUUGAACAAUGAUUAAAUCAUACUAGUAAGACCUUGAGAUUAUGUUUUGUCAGAUGUAAUUUUGAUGAUUACUCUGCUUUAACCUUGGAAGCAUUGGCAUGUUAAUGUCUUAUUUUUCCAUGUAUGAAAAUAGUAAUUACACUCGUAUGAAAGCACAUUUCUAAAAGGUUACAAGUUGUUGAUCAGAAAUCAUAUUUUACAUAUAAAGACAUCUAGAAUCAAAACCUUGUUCUUUUCCCCCAAAGGGUAGUAGGUUUUACAUCUGAUGUGAAAUUUGUAUUCUAACCCUUUAUUUAAUUGCUGAAAAAUGAAUGAAAAAAAGACAGAUUUUUCUAUUGACUUCAUUUAAAAUGAGAAACUCAACUCAUCAAUGACAAAAAAUUGAAUUAGGAUCAGUUGUGCUGGGGUUUCAGGUAUCUCAGAACAUCAAAAGCAUUUAAAGAAGUAAGCUUCAAAAAAAUUGAUGUUUACUCUUUUCCUACAUUUUUCAUUAAGCAAAUGGACGUGAAAAAUAAUCUUUUGUAAAAGUGGAGUCCUUUUCCUCAAAAUUAGUUUUGGGUUUUCAUCAAGAAGCCUUGUUUAUGAGAGUCAUCAAUUCUUUCAAUCCAGAUCCUAUACUCAUGGCAUUAUUUUUAUAUUUUUUGAUAGGCAAAUAUCCAUUAUAUUAACCACACCUAACCAAGCAGGGAAUUAAAGUUUACACAGUUUGUACAAAGGCACCAAAAGGCCAUACCAAGUGGAGAUAUACUCAUGGUAUAUCUUGAGCCGCUAUUUCAGCAUCUCUUUGUAAUACAAUGCUUUUCUUACUUAUCAAAAUAAUAAUAAUAAUAAUAAUAAUCCAGAUAGAUCAAGAUCAGAGGGUAUAAUUUAUUGCCCUGCACACUUAACAGCAAGAAAACCCUUCUAAAGAAGUUUGACCAGGUAGCCCAUGCCAUAUAUUCAAUAACAUGUUCAAUAUAGUUGUGGAAAUUCAAAAACUUUCAGCACUUAACACUCAAUAGAGAUAUAAUUCCAAUGAAUAAUAAUCUAUUUAAACACUUCUUUCCGGUAGAACAUAGAAUCAAUGAGAGGGGGUGUAGAAAAGAAAAGGUAGGCCCAACCAAAGGUGUGCCAGUGGUCACUUCGAAUCAAAUCUCCAAAGGAAACUGGAGUCAUUGGUACAACACCAUAGCAUCACAUUAGAGAAUCUCCUGCAAAAUGAGUUCAGAAAACUCUGAACCCUGGUCAUUUAAGAACACAGAGAAGAAAGAUUUUACCUGGACUACCAAUCUCAAAAAGAGGGGAAAAAUGAUGAACCCAACAUGGUCAUCCAGCUAGUCUCAGAAAGGAAGAGAACAUGUCACAUGACACAACACAGAUAUGCCAACCAGAAAUCGUGAAGAAGUGGGACAGGGAAGAGAGAGAGAGUGCCUAUAUUCAUGCAUACAUGCUUGUAUACAAGCGCACACAAAUGGUCUUGGGAAUAGAUUGUGCACCACAGAGAAAAUAAGACACGGGCACCAGACAAGAAGAGGAGGAUUAAAAAUGCCCUCCAAACUCCUCCAGCAGAAAGGCCCCUCUUUUAGCCUAGAUAUCAGCUUCUUCAAUGAUGCCUUGCAAAGCCAGUUUGUCUGAUGCUCUAUCAUGGGAAAUAUGCACUCUCUCAUAUUAAAUGUGUAGACCUACAAGGACCCAAGUUGUUAGACAAAGCCCACUUCAUUUCUAAAUAAAUAAAUAAUUAGUGGACAAAUCACAACCUCCCUUCAAUCUAUUCCAACCCACCAGGUAAAUCUUCUCAAAUCCCCUAAAAAAAAAAAGCCCUUCCCCUGCUGAUGUGGCAAUCAUUCAUGUGGCAAGUGAUAAUCUUUAGUGCCCUCCAUAUCUCCCUUCUGUCUCUCCCCUGCCUUUACUCACUCAUAAUACCCAAGGAAGUCCCCUGAACUUCUUAGUGACCGAGAUCAUGAUGAGUAAACAACUUUUACCAAACUAAUUCCUCAUGGUUUUUGACUUAUCCUAAACUGUGUUACAGAGUUCCUUCCCAAUCAAAUAAUCCAAAUUAGACCAAAGCAUAAAAACCAUACUGUCUUGCGUCUACCUCCUCCAGUGUCCUAGAACCUUAUAACCAAUAUAGAGGAGAUUUCCAGAAGGAACCACCCAACUUAAGGCUGCUAAGUUAAGCCUCCUCCCAUGAUGCAAGUAAAAGAAGGCAAUGCAAGAACAAGCUAUCACUAUUUUCAUCAUUUCUUUGCAGACUAAACAAAUGCCCAUCGUUAAGGAUUUAUUGGAUCUCCUAGUUUGAAGCUUAUUAUUGGUGUUCACUUUGUUACGAGCCACUAUUAAAGCUGAUGCCUAAUCUUGGGAGAGAGCUUUCCCUUCCAAAUCCUUUUCUACUCUUGAUCAGAUCUAAAACUUUUUGCAAGAAGAAAAUACAAGAACUUGUUUCCCUGAUUAAGAAAUGGAAAUAAAGUUUCAAAGAAAAAAUAAUUAUGUUCAAGGGACUAAAUCUAAUCAUCUUGGAUUAGAAGAGGCAAGCAUAAUGUAAGGUAUCAAGAAGAGAAGUCACCUCAGAGUAUUCUUGGUUGUUGAGCUUCCAAACAAAAUAAAAUUCCCAAGAGAAUUCACUAACAUAGAAUAGGAAUAUUACCAAAAAAGGUAAUUCUUAUGUAAGAUGGCAAAGAUGGGAAAAAGGCUGAUAAAAGACUCAUUACCCAUCGACUGUCCGAGAACCAAACAUGAAAAUCAUUGCAAAUACAGUAGCUCAUGAGAGGGGCCAACAAAGGAAACUUCAAGCAAGGAAUUUUCAAUGACAACGGUACAAAUCUGUUGUCACCAAAAGAAGCAUCCUGCCUAUUCUCCUAAAACCGUAUGAUCUCUUGACUACUAGGGACAAUAAAUGCCCAUACUCCCUAGCAAAUCUCCAUCCCAUUUCUAUAAAUCACCUUGCCUAAACUUGUGCCCCUCUUUAUAUCGGACUAGCCAACAGUCUUCCAAUUAACUAAAUGAAUUUUCUUACUAACACCUGCCCCAGUCCAUAUGAAAUCCUUUAGAAGUCUGCCAAUCCUAUUAAUUACCUUGACUCACAUCUUGAAUAAAGAUAAGAAACAGGUGAGGGACUAUUGAUCUUAACUUAAAGGAAGCCCAAGGAAUUUAAAUGGCUGUUGUCCUAUCUUAGAACCUCAAGCAAUGACCAAAUUUUUCCAAACCUCCUUAUCCAUAUUAGUGUCUAAAAGCACACUUUUCACCAUAUUCAUCUGAUGAACAAGACCCUCCCAGAAGAGGUAAUAACAAGCUUCAAAUGCCUUACUCUUUCCCUCUUCCUAAUUUCCCCACAGAAAACAAAGUAGUAUCAUCAGCAAACUCUCUCUUCACCAAUUCCAGAACACCAAAUGACAUCUAUCUCAAAAACCUCCACUACAAGCCUAUUCUGCACUUCAGUUACGAAUACAAACAAUAAAAGAGAGAUGGUCUCCCUGCUUAAAAACUCUCAAGGCUUCAAAUCAUCCUUUAGGUUCACUAUUGAGGAUAACCACAAAAUUAGAUGAUUCAAACAUUUCUUAAUUCAACUCCUGAAAAAGGAAACCUUUCUUAGGUAAGACCUACAGGAAGCCCUAACCCAGACAAUCAUUGAUUUUUCAAAAAUAGAUCUUUAAAAACCUCCCCCUACUUGCUAGACUUUCAAAGCUCUUUGACAACCUCAUGGGCAAUCAAGGUCUGAUCAACAAGCUUUAUAUCCUUGGUGAAGUCUUCACAGAGAAAGAAUGCAUGCCCUGAAGCACUUCUCUCUGUCACUCAAGAUGAAUUAGGCAAUGACUUCAACUCAGUUGGAUCAGAUCAGAUUAGAAGUCAACCUUGCCUCAACCAGAGAAAUAACAUCCUUAACCUACAGCCAAGGCAAAAACCCAACCUCCUGCCAACUGAACAGCCCAACCCAAGGUGAAGCCAAAGAAGCUAAAUCAGAUUAGUAAAGUUUGAAGUAAUUAUUAGAGUAGAAGGCUGUUAGAAUGAGGUAGUUAUUAGAGUAGAAGCCCUUGUGUUCUCUACUUGUUUGCAGUAAGUCUCCAAUAUUAACUUUCUUAGAAGCCACAACCUAUGAGAAGCUUUUAACCUUGGGGAUGCAGGCUUCUCCAACCCAAAUAAGUUUAAAAUAGAAAGACUGAAGAGAAAGAUCAACACCUGAAAAAUCUUUACAAAAUUUCAUCAAUGAAACAGAGUCGACUAUCUUUCCACAUGCUUAAUCAGGAUUCUACCCAUUAGAAUGUCUCACACAUACCAAAUCUCAAAAAAAAAAAAAAAAAAAAUGGUAGGUGUAAGUAUAAUACAUUGCCAAAAGUCAUAACCAAACAAGAGGGAACUACAAAAAACCACUCCCUCCCUAAAAGGGAAUCCAACAAAUCAAUUAAAUGCAUUAAACCUUCAACUAGAUAUAUUGCCAAAACCACUCCCUCCCUAAAAAGGAAUCCAACAAAUCAAUUAAAUGAAUUAAACCUUCAACUAGAUAUAACUUAGUCCACCAUAAAAGAUUACUAAGAACAGUGUUUUUUAGUCUUUGGUUAGUCGCAUUUGCAAACGAUCUUCAACUUGUUUUUCUUUACCGUCCAAAAAAUACACAAAAGAGCUAUUUGCACCAAUUUCUUUCAUUUUUUUCCUACAAAGGAAUUAUGUCAUCCUAAGAAAAUCUCUUUAACCAUGGAAGAUAUCACCCAAGAUAUGCCAAACAAAAAGAGAAAAAAAAAUUGUCAUAAACCCUUGUCUUGAUACAAUGAAGGGGAGUGCAAUCAUUGGAUUCUUUCUCAUUCUUGCAAAGAAAGCAUCUAUUUACCAACAAACCACCCUCUUCUCUAAAGUUGAUGUAGAAUCAAUACUUUUCCCCAACUCGCCUCCCAUGGAGGAAAACUCACUUUCGACAACUCAAGAGUUCCAAAUUACUCCUAUUGAGAAAGGAAUUGAUCUCCCCAACUUCAAUAUUGAGUAUGAAGCUUUGACAGACGUAGUUCCAUUCUUUGACUCCAUCCAAAUCACCUUAUCUUCCCCUUCUCUAUUCACCAUCUUGCCUUGUAGUCUAGAAAAAAAAACUCUCCACAUUGUCCAACUCUCAACCAUUCAAAUUCUUAGAGAAACAAAGAUUCCAGUAAACCCCUUCCCUUGACUAGUCCCACAAAUCCACCACCUAUGUCUCUUUCGAUACAACUAAUGCAUACAAUGAUGGGAAGGAUACACAUAAAGGUUUAUCUCAAUACCAUUUAUCCCUUCAAAACUUCACUCUCCUCCUAGUAACCAUAGGAAAGGAGACUACUAUUAAAAAGAUCACAAUCUUUUCUAAUAGCUUUCUAUAACCAAACACCAUGCUCAUCUCUCACCUUACAAGAAUGCCACAAUGCCCCUUGCCUAGGGCCAUCUUCAUAUUGUUCACCUAUGACCUACUUCGAGAGAGCUACCCUUUCAGAUGCAUAUCACUAACUUCACUUACAACGAAAGACCUUGUUGAGCGAAUAGAGACAUCUAACACCCAAGCUCCCCUUCCUCUUGUUUGUGUAGAAAAUAGCCUACUUUAUUAAAGUUGUUUUCUCUCUAGAGUGAACUUCCCUCCUUUGGAAUCCUACACAUUACAACUAAAGGAAAAGCCAAGUAGUUAAAAGCUCUCCCACCUUGCAACUUAUCUCUGGGGCUAAGUACUCCAUGUUAUCCACCCUUCCAAUCAAAAUCAACUCACUCAUCUCUAAAUUUAUUUUCAGCCCUAAGAUGGCUUUAAACCGCCUGAGCAACUAGUUUAAAUGAGUUAUCUAAUCUUGAGAAGCCUCACAAAAAAUAGUAGUAUCAUCAGAAAACAACACAUGGGAUACUUUCACCCCCUCACCUCUUCUAGCCCUCACCUUAAACCCCAAUAGGAAUCCCACCCCCCACCCACCCUUGGCCCAAAUAAGAAAACAACUAAGAGCCUUCAUGGCUAACAUAAAUAAGAAAGAAGAUAGAUAUCCCCUUGUCUCAAGCCCCUAGAGUUUUGAAAAGUGCCAGAAGUGGUGCCAUUAACAAGAAUGGAGAACCUUGUUGCAAACAUGUAUCAGUUAAUCAAUUUGAUCCAUUGUUGAAUAAAAGAAGUCUUAAUUAACGUGAUCAUAUGUCUUUUCAAUGUCAAACUUACACAAUAUCAAGAAAACAACAAAUAAGAUGCUUUCACCCCCUUACCUCUACCUUUUAUUGUAAACCUCGAUAGGAUUCCGCCAUCCUUAGCCCUCUUAAGAAAACAAUUGAGAUGCUUCAUAGAUAACAUAAAUAAGUCAGAAGAAAGAGGAUCCUCUCGUCCCAAGCCCUUAGAGCUUUGAAAAAAGACAGAAUAGGUAUCAUUAACAAGAAUAGAGAACCUUGUUGUAGAUAUGCGCCAUUCAAUUCAAACAAUUUUUUCCAAGAUAAAAGGCAAAUAGCCUAAUUAAUGUGAUCAUAUGCCUUUUCAAUGUCAAGUUUGGACAAGUGGUCACUUUUUAACAUAGUGUCAAUAGCCUCAUUAGAUAUAAGCAUUGCAUCUAGAAUCCUCCACAAAUGCAUUCUAAGACUUGGAUACUACUUUACCCACCACCUUUUUCCAAACUAACCCAAUUCAUUAAAAUCUCUCAGAAAUCCCACACCCUCUUCCUUCACAAAGUCCCAAUUGAACUGCUAGAAGGCUAUAGAGAACCUAUCCGGACUUGGAGCNNNNNNNNNNNNNNNNNNNNNNNNNNNNNNNNNNNNNNNNNNNNNNNNNNNNNNNNNNNNNNNNNNNNNNNNNNNNNNNNNNNNNNNNNNNNNNNNNNNNUAAGCCUCACAACCAAAAAGAAAGCAAAAAAACCCCACCAGCCCUUAUCUGGAGGCUAUCCACUCCAAGAAGCCUAUAAGAGACAGCGACCUCUCUCCACUAUACAGUCUCGCCCAACACCAUAAAUUACAGACAAAAGAAUUUUUUAAUCUUUGAAUAUCUAUCACCCCCCUAAAAGCAAGUCUAUUUCUUUCCUUCCAAAGAGUCCAAAAGAUGUACAACGGUAUAGACUUCCAUAUCUUUUUCCUUUUUUCCCCUACAAAAGGGCUCCUCCAGCUUAAUAAGACCUCCUUUACAGUUUCUGGAAAGACCCACUGAACACCAAACAAAGCACAUAUCAUAUCCCACAGGACUUUUGCCACUAUACAAUGAAUGAGGAUGUGAUUUACAGUUUCCUCUUCGCAGCCACACAAGAAGCAACGGUUAGGGAGUUGCCACCCUCUUUUCUGAAAGCCUAUCUAGCGUAAGCACCUUGCCCCAAGUAGCCUCCCAAGCAAAAAACAAAGUUUUUGUUGGAACUUUAUCCACCCAAAUGUUGUUUUUCGGAAAGUUGUUAGCCACGGUAUUAACCACCAAGUUGUAGGCUUCUUUUACUUUAAACUGCCCGUUUCUUCCCCCUUUCCAAAAAACUGCAUUCUCUUCUAAAGUAGGUUUGUAUCCCCUCAAAAUAUGAAGCAAAUUACCUACCAUAUCCAACUCCCAAUCAUUGAAACCCCUCACAAACCUUAAAUCCCAAUCUCCUUGGCCGACAUUCUGAUCCCACAUUUCUUCUAUUAUGCCAUUUCUAUGAGCAGCCAUCCCAUAAAGGUGAGGAAACCUUUGAGACAGCACUGUACAACCGCACCAAAGAUCAUUCCAAAAUCUGAUUUUGGUACCAUUCCCCAUAGUAAAAGCCAUAUUUUCCCAACACCAAUCUUUUUCCUUCAGAAUUUCCUUCCAAACCCCUACUCCAAACGUCCCAUUAGCCUUUGUCGCCAUUCAAGUCCAAUAGAGCAUUGAACAACUCUUCCUCUAAGAACAGCUCCUCUAAUUUUACUGCUUCCUACUCAUCUAAAACGUCAAAAAGCAUUCCAUGGCUACUAAAUCUCUACUCCCCUAGAUCAAAUAAUAAGUUGAGGAAAGCCCAAGCUAUCCCUUCCUUUAUCUCAUUCUCCUUAGUUAACCAAACUUCGUUCACUUUAAUCUUGGCUGGAAAGUUCCUUCCAUGUGCAUUAACCAUUUUAUGAAAGAAUUUAGAAUUUAUAUCACCUUCCUUUAACCAAAUCUCCCUUUAUUUUUGCCUUCAUGAAGCUUCUUCCAUAAGGGUCCCAUUUUUUAUGCCCCUUGUGACUCUUCUACCUUCCAUCCUACCUGAGACAAGGCACCUAUCCUCUCCUUGGAAUCCCAAAAGACCAAUUGUCCUCUCAAAAAUUACCAAGCACCCUAGUAAAUCUUCAUAGAUUUCACUGCUAAAGCAUUAGUUCAUAAAAACAAAACAGUGCUCAUUUUUGUUGCUACACAAUUUCACCAAGCCCAUGAGGCAUGAAAGGAUCAUCCCUUGUACUUGAAACAAAGAACAACUUUGACACUUCUAUAGAUUUCAUACAUAACUUGAAUGUGCUUGAUCUAUUUUCAGUAAGUUCUUCAUAGCUAAACCUGACAUAAUAAGGAUUGUCCCAGUAGGACAAGUAAUGGGUCGAUAACAGUGGCUCCUCAGCUUCUAAAACAAGAUUGCUUUGGGUUUAGUCCCAUUUAAACCACCCAGCCAGUCUUACAAUUUUCUUUCCUCACAAACCAGGAGCAAACUGGUCUCCUUUAUGGCUUUAUCUAUGGGUGCAUCUGUUCCCUAUCUUCUUAUAAAAAUCCUUUGUUACCAUGCAAUUUUCUGCUUGUACUUUCAAAAUCAAAAUAAAUCAACAAGGCCUUUUUAACCCUUGGCAUUCAUUGGUCCAAACUGACAUAUCUCAGCAAGAAGAAUUAAACAUUCCACACUGGAAAUACUCCAUCCAAACAGGACUAGAAGUGGUUUCGUAGUCAUAUAAGAUGAAGGAUUGGUAUAAUUAGCAAAAAAUUUCUUGGCCCACAGGUCCACUCUUCUGCAAAUGGAAUCACAGUGAAAAUGUGGCAUCAACAGCACUCCUAAUGAUGCAAAAAUGGAGGAAAGGAUUUUAAUUUUAAAAAAUAACAAUAACAGCAACAUGCCAUUCCUACCAACACUGAAGGGUUUAUAUUGUUAAACAAACUCGACCUGUAUAAGGGCAUUUAUAAACAGAAUAUGGUGAGAAUGGUGAAAUCAAAUGCAAAUAGCAUGCUAGUUAAUUACCUUGUACAAGCUCUAAAUGCUUCAUGGAUGAGAAAUAAUGGUGAAUUAAAACCCACUCCAUCUUCUGCGAGCAAUUUUCCUAAAACAGGAGCACAGCAAAGCACAUGAAAAUCAAUUACAUUAGAGUGAUGACAACAACAGAAUACAGCCUCCCAAAGUUACUUCAAAUGCAGUUAUUUAAACAAUUUAAUCACAGUUAUAAUGCAAACUGAAGUAAAAGAGAAGUGAUUACAAAUUAAGCACCCAACCUCUUAGAAGUUCACUGAUCACUCUUGAUUUGUUAAUGCUGAUGGUUGUUGCCACCCAUGAACCAAAGUAGUAUAUGUAAUUUCAUCUAAAGGUAACCCUUCCUGGGACAUAUAAUCACAUAUUUUAAAACCUUCUUCUAUCUUCCCUUCCUUGCAAAACCCAUUUGUCAAGACAUUAUAAGUGACAGUGUCUGGGACAAUUCCUUUUCCUACCAUUUCAUGUAGAAGCUUAGCUGCUGUUUUCAUAUCACCUGAUUUGGAAUAUCCAUCAAUCAUGACAGUAUACGUAAUUUUAUUAGGGUGUAUGUCAUAUGAAGACAUUUCCUGCAAGACAUUCACCACUUUAUCCAUCUGACCUAGCUUACAGUAACCACCAAUUAGUGCAGUAUAACAGACAACAUUUGGAAGCAAACCCUCCUUUCUCAUUUCAUCAAUAAGGCAUUUUGCAUCCUCCAUGCGUCCAAUAUUGCACAUUCCAUGUAUUAGAGAAGAAUAUGUGGCUGUAGUUGGUGGAAUACCCUUGCUUCUCAUGUCAUCAUGAAGUUUAAAGGCCUCCACUGUAUUCCCAUUUCGACAGUAUGCUCUGAUAAGUGUAUUAUAAACAACAGAAUUCAGUUCCAAAUUCUGAGUGAGCAACUCAGUGAAGAGUUUUUCUCCCUCCUCAAUUUUGUCAGCCUUACAAUAUCCAUCAAUCAUGACACCAUAUGUAUAAACAUUUGGAACUAGAUCUCUACUUUUACAUUCAUUCCAAAGGUUCACAGCUUCGUCCAAUUUACCAAUACGACACAUCCCGUGUAUCAGCAAAUUGUAAGUAAAAGUGUCUGGUUCAAUUCCUUGCUUAACCAUUUCUCCCCUCAAUUUAAAACCUUCCUCAACCUUUCCCUCCUUGCAACACCCUGAGAUGAGUGUGUUGUAUGUGAUCUUAUCCAAUACGAAACCCCUUUCUAACAUCUUCUUGAGAAGCCUAACAGCCUCUUGCAUAUUACCCGUUUUGCAAAGUCCAUGAAUUAGAGCAUUUGUGGUCACUAAAUUGGCUCCAAAGCCUUUCUCCAAGAGCCUAAACCAAAGUUCCACUGCAUCUGAGUGCUUACCCUCCUUACAAAGCCCACCCACCAAUGUGGUCAGCAACCCAUCAUUGGGUCUCAUAUUUCUUAAUAGCAUCUCCCUGAGGAAUCUUAGUGCAGACUCAAACCUAGAAUUCAUACAUAACCAGUGAAUAAUCGUAGUAAAAGCACCAGGGUUUAUAGAGAAUCCUCUCGAUAGCAUCUCCUCCAAAAUGCACUCAGCUUGUUCCAUCUGCCCAAUCUUGCAAAAUCCCUGGAUGAUUGAAUUAAGAGUAACUGAAUUGGGGUUGAUUCCCUUGGAGACCAUAUCACCCCUUAUCCUCAAUGCAUCCCCAAGGUUUCCCAUUUUACAGUAUCCAUCAAUCAAUGUGUUAUAAACAACCUCAUUCGGUGUAAACCCCUUUUCCAACGUUUCCUUCAAAACAGAAUUUGCUUCAUUAAACUUUUCCAAUUUCAUCAAACCAUUAAUAAGAACACUGUAAGUUAUAAGAGUAGCAUUCACGCCAUCUUUCACCAUUUUCUCCUUGAAUCGAAAAGCCUCAUCUAAAUUCCCAUGCUUGCAUAAACCAUGAAUAAGAUUAUUAUAUGUAACAACAUUCGGAGAAACACCCAACUUCUCCAUGUCAAAAAACAACUGAAUAGCAUCCUCAACCUUCCCUCCCUUACAAAAGGCAUUAAUUGCAGUGCUAAACAAGUAAACAUCUGGAGAAACACCUUGGCGCAUAGUCUCAAACACCCAAUAACUCUUUUCAAGUUCAUUCGCCUUAACUAAAGAACUCAGCAAAAAGGUACAAGUCUUCACAGUUGGAAACACACCCUUAUUAGCCAAAAACCGGAAAACGCCAAUAGCAUUCCGGAAACCCACAUUCCUGAAUUGGGUACAAUAGACAUGAAUCAACAAAUCAACUGCCGCAACCGCAACACCCGACUCGCCCACCUCAUUCAAAUCCGCCAUUGCACUGGCUAUCUCAAUGUGCCUAUUUUUCGGGUCCCCGAACAAAACGGGCAGCUUCCGAUCGAUUAAACGGAUCAAAAGCAGCCUAGCGGGAGAGACAAAGCCCGAAACAAUCAAACUACGCAUCAAAACACAGUAUGAUCGAAGAGUGAAUCGAAACCCACAUGAAUCAGAAGCAAAAUAAAAGAAAUUCAAAGCAGUUUUGGGGUUAACAUUACGUCUUACGGAGAAGAAUACAGAAUCGAAUUGAUGAGGAGACAAAUGGGGUAUGAGUUGUUUACACUGAGUGGAAUCCAGAGAUGGGUUUGAGAGAAUUGAAGUUACCGAUUUGAGAAGAGCAUGAUCCGAAGAAGGAGGCUGAUUCUGGGACGGCAAUGGCGACGGUGGAUGUGGGGCGGCGGAGGUGACACAGGUAAGGGGGCGUGCGAUUGGGCAGAAGAUUGGUGUGGGUUUUGGGAGGAGGGUUAUUCUCAAAUCCAUUGAUUGAUGUAAACACGAAAUGGGGUCUUUUAAGGGUUUAGAGGGCAUUGAGAGGUGAACCUGGAGGCGGCGGCGAGGCUGCCAUGGCUGUUGAGAGGAGGUUAAAGGGCCACGGAGGCUGAAGAAUGAGAGUGGGAAACGGUCUUCAAAUGAAGUUUGUUGUGCAACAAGGGUUUGAGUGAGAGCCAGAGGCAGUCCCAUUCCACCACCCCACAAAAAUAAAAAAACAAAAACAAAAGAAAUAAAAAAAUUUAAAAUAAAAAAAUAAACAAAUUAAAUUAAAUUAAUAGGUUAAAAUAUAAAAAUUUAAAAAUAAAAUAAUUAAAUUAAAUUAAAUUAAAAAAAACCACUUCUUUUAGUCCAUCAUUUUUAUAUUCUAAACAAGUUGAGUAAAGAACGUUAAAUAUUUUAUCUUUAUUUUCAAUUAAUAUAAUUUAAAAGUGAAAUAAAAGUCAAUUUUUUUAUAUAUUUUUAAUUUUUAAGUUUUUUUAGUUUUAAUUUAAUUUUAAAUUUCUUAUUUUAUUAUUAAUGUCAACCAACAAAAUUUUUAUUCAAUUUUAUUAAAAAAAUUAAGAAAAUGAGGGGAUUUAUAUAAUAUAAAAUAUGAAAUUAUUAUUAAUUAGAGGACUAGAAAGAAUUUUAUUUAUCACUUAAGGAUUUGAAGAAUUUUUCUAUUGAUGUGUAGUAUAAUAUAUUUAUUUAUAAGAUACUUUCAUUAAAUUAAGAUGCAUUAAUUGUUUAAUCAUUUUAUUUAAUAUUAUCAAGUACAUUUUAUUUUAGGAAAUAAUUAUCUCAUUUAUGAAAAAGUAUAUAUAUUUUAAAUUAUUAAAUUAAGAUAAAUUAAUUAUUGAAUAAUUUUAUUAAAAAAGUCAUUCAAAGAAAUAAUUAUUUUAUUUAUGAAAAAACGCAUGUAUUUUUAAAUAGGUAAAGAAAAAAUUAAUUUAUAAAAUUUAAGGUUCUAUUUUCCAUAUAUUUUCAUAUUAAUAAGACAAAAUCCACUUUUUCCUUUUCUUUUUUUUUUUGUCACAUUUUUAAUAUUUAUAGUCAUAUUAAUUUUAUCUUACUAACCACAGUCAUAUUCUUAUUUUAUAGAUGUUGAAGUAAAAUUAGAUAAAAGGUUCUCUUAUUAGGCAUCUACAAAAAGGUAAAACUUUAUUUGACAUAAUGAUAAAAGGAAUUGUGGCUUAAAAAUAGAAUAAAUAGUAUGGCUCAUAAAAAAAAUAAAAAAUAAAAAUAAAAAUGACACCAUUUACCAAUAUAAAUGGUGAUGAUUGGAUAUUAAAAACAUAAAACAAAAAAAAAAUUAAUGUAAUUGACAAAAACAAUAACUUAGAAUGGGAAUGAUAAACGUUGACAAAAAUUUCAAAUUUCAAUAGAAUAAUUAUUGUAUUGAGAAUCUCUUGAAGACUUCGAGUUCGUUUGAUAGUUAGAAAAAUUAGGCUAAUCUAAUAUAAGAUAAUCACCUUAGAGGGGGGUGAAUAGGGUGAUAGUCUCUUUUUACAAAUUUAAACUAAGUUAAUAUAAGAGAUAAUUAUAUACAAAUAUAUAAUAAAACAAUAUAAAAAUAAUUACAUAUAAAGUAAAAGAGUAGAGAAGAGAUAAUGAAAACACGAUAUUUUUAUAAUGAUUCGACAUUACUCGACCUACAUCCACUCUCCUCUAGCUUCCAUCCCAAGCUUGAGGUCCCACUAAUUUAAGGUUUCCAAACCAAGUCUUCAAGCAAUAUAAUUGGAUUAUGGUUCCAAUCCACCAUCUUGGACUUUUGGCUCCAAGUACCCUUUUAAACCUCAAGAAAUACCUCACUCUUAAAUAACUCCUUAAGUGAUACCCCACACUUGAGAAUCCCUAAGUGAUAUCUCACACUUAGAUUCUUCCCCUCAAAGAUUUACAAAUGAAUAAAGGGUCUCACAAAAUCCUAGUACAAAACUUUAAGGCUCAAUGAUACAAGAAAAUUAGGAUUGAAUUGUGCAUUAAUGAUAUGCAAGUUUUAGAAUAAUGGUGCACUCAAAAAUAUUCUCUCAAUGCUCAAAUAUAUUCAAGAAAGGUUUAAGAAUGUUAAGCUCUUGAAACAAUGAAGAUUGAAACCUUUUUAUAAAGGAAAAAUGUCAAACUAGUCGUUGGGGGUUCGACCGGUCGAGCUGGGGGUUGACCGGUUGACUAGCCAUUAGCAUUUAAUGCUUAGUAGGUGAUAGUUGGACCUUGACCACCCCUUGACCGGACCUCAACCAGUUGAGGUGGGGGUUGAUCAAUUGAGGUUCAACCUUGACCAAUUGAACAAACGUUCAAGAAGAUAGAAAAUAUUUUUUUGCACCCCUCGACCGGUUGGGUUAAGGGUCGACUGUUCCUUAUCCGGUUCAACCGAUUAAGCUGUUUUUGGCUCAACAACCAAUUUUUUCAACUUAAAACCUUUUAAACAAGUUUGAAAAACGUUUGACACAAGGAUUUAGUUAAAAAUAUGAAAUCAUCCAAUUUUAAAGGAUUUAAAAUGAAAAAACUAUUGGAUGAUAAGUAAAGAAUGUAAUGCAUGAAAAUCUUAGUACACCAACAACCUUACAAAGAGAUUUUAUGAAGCUUGAGUCUUGAAAAAACACUUCUCUUUGAGGUCUUCUUCUUCUUCUUAAUGAUUUCUCUUUGGCUUGAUUUGUCUUUAUAAUUGCCACUUUGGAAAUUGUCUUGCCCAAUCACACUUGAAAUAUAAUCAUUAGUUUAAAACCUUAUUUUGUUAUCAUCAAAACCAAGAUUAACCAAACCUUGGUUUCACAAUAGUGAUUUUAAGAAACUUUUCUAAUAUUUAUAAUAUUUGAAAAUUUUUAUUUUUUAAGCAUUAAAAAGGUUUGGAACAUUUCCUAGAAUCAAUGUUAAACGCAUUCUUAAUUUUGAUAAUCCAUUUUAUGAAAAUAGGUCAUUUAUUAGUUUAGAUGUUGGUAAACCAAACACUACCUUGGCUAUUCAUGUUCAUUAAAUAUAGAUGCUUAUAAAGCCUAACACUUUUACUUAGGUUGUAAAGUAACCUUCUUAGAUUUAUCAUCCUAUUUACAUUUUUAAUUUCAAAUUAUAGUAAUUAUUGUCAUCUAAAAAUAUUAUUCACAAACAAAAUAAACAUUCUUCAAAAACUUUGUCUAGUUUAAGUGAAGGAAGACUUUCAAAUUAGCUAGUAUCUAGUCAUAGAUGGUAGGUGGUAAAUGAAAACCGAAAACCAAUAAAAAAUGAUACAAUUUGAUAAAACAAAAACCAAUCAAAUUGGUUUGAUUUUAACAAGUUGAUUCAGUUGAGAAUUUUAAAAAUCAACUUUAUCAAUUUGGUUUCCUUGCCUCCCACUAAUGAAAACUAAACUAAACCAACAUUCUAAAACUUCUAUCAAUUUGGUUUGAUUGCCACUUUAUCAGUUUAACAUUUGAUGAGUUUUUUAUGUUUAUUAUUAUCAAUAUCUUAUAGAUUCUAUUAAAGUGAUUCAUUCUU
rnacentral:lncRNA from 1 species